rnacentral:lncRNA from 10 species
UGAGAGCCCAUCACAAGCCAAGGAGAUGCAAGAAGGCAUCUGCUGGGAUUUCUAGAAAAGAGACGCUUCCUCUUUCUUCUACUUAAGAGAGACACCUUGAAGCUUGCUGGAUGCCUCAGAGGGAAGUGAGAGAGAAACAAGCACCAGAGAAGGCAGAGUGAGGAAACAGAGAAAUUGGGACUUUGGAGACAUUGUUUGAGCUGCUGGACCAAGCCUUGCCUGAAAGCAGCAUAUCUAGACUUCAACAUGAGUAAGGCUGGAGAAUGAGUGGAAAGAAGACACCUUUGCUUGGGAAUCUUUCAGAUGCCAGCUGGCAUGGGUUUUUGCCCUGGCUUUGAGCUGAGCCUCAGCCAAGGACUGAUCCCCUGCCUGCAGCAGGUAGGUCCUGGUCAUGCCAGGGAGGCCCCUCUGUCUAGAUGGGAGGGAAUGUCCACAUCCCACUGCAGGAAGACCCAGUAAAGGCCCAUCUGUGUCCAGCAUCUUCUGUGCGCCAGGCUUUUCCUCACUCAACCCUGAUCCCAAGUUACAUGGUUAGCACUCUUAACCCCAUUUUACAGAAGAGAAAACAGAGGCUUGGAGAGACUUAACCACCAUCCCAGGAUUGCACACAGAAACCUAGAGAGUGUUGGUACCUGGGUCCAAUGUCGCAGCUGUUUCUGCUUUCUGGGUCACCUGGGCAAGCCAUGCCCCCUUCUCUGGAGCUUUGGUAACCCAGAAGCACAAAAGGAGGCUGUGAGUGAACUAGUCAGUGGUUCUCAAGCUUGGGUGCACAUCAGAAAGUUCUGGAGGGCUCGUUACAACACAGAUCACCGGGCUCACCCCCAGCAAUGAAUUGCUGAUUCAUUAGGUCAGGGAUGGGGCCCAAGAGUGUGCAUUUCUGACAAGUUCCAGGGAGAUGCUGUUGCUGAUGGUCCAGGGACCACACUUUUGAGAACCACGUGGCUGGAUGAACUCAGAUUCUUUUGAGUAGUGACAUUGAAUGGCUUCUUCCAAGUACUGCUGAGUCCGCUGGUUUCCCUUGUGAUCCAUGACCCACUUCCCCAGUGACUCUGCUCACAUGGGUCCUGACAGAGAUGAUGUCCUGCGAGUUUUCUGGCAAACCCAGAGGAGAGGUCCAGAGAGUGGAUCCGGGGGCUUUGCAGCAAUGGAGUGGGCUUUCAGCAAACUCAAACAUGGCACAGGUUCCAUGAUGGCCAGAGCCAGCUCUUGGAGUCUCUCCUCUUCUUGCCUUUGUCCCUAGCACUGAGCUCAGUGCCUGGACAUAGUAGCUGCCCAGCAGAUAUAUGAUGGCUAAAUGUAAACUGGAUGUCUCACAGUGUGUUCAGGAUAGAGCCAGGAUAGAACCUGGCUCUUCUGGGAGAGAACACCAGUGCCUGCUUUGGGCUGACAAGUCCUUUAUGUGUGCAUUAAUGCUGUGCGAUUGGAAGGGCUGGAGUUGGAGAUGGGGAAACUGAGACCUAGAAAAGAGAAGGUGGUCUCUUGCGGGGACUCUGUGAGCCCCCAGUUUCUACCCCGCUUCUCGUCUGUACGUUGGGCAUGGAAGCAGGAAUUCUGGACACACUAAACUGUUAGUUAGAGACCAUCAAACCACGAUCAUUCUGCCUGUGGGGAAGCUGAGGCGCAGAGAGGAAAAGGAACGUACCCAAGUUCCCAUCGCUGGUUGGCUGUGGGGCAAGGAUGAUGACGAUGAUGAUGAUGACGACGACAACCAUAAGAAUAAAAACCAACAGUUCUCGUGCUUAUUGUGCACUGGGGCCUGUUCUAAGUACUUUAUGAUCACCGACUCAUUUAGUCUUUACAAUAGCCCCAGGAGGUAGGAAUUUAUUAGUAUCCGCAUUUGACAGAUGAAGGGACUGAGGCACAGACAGGUUAAGUCACUUACUGAGGGUCACACAGCUAAUCUGUAGUGGAUCCAUG